UAACUCUUUCAUUGGAGUCUACUGGCUCAGUCCACUGGUUACAUAUGCUGCAAGGACAUCAUUUUCUCCCCAGUGUCUCUUCAUUUCUGUUUUCAAAAUAAACAAGCACCUUGUGAUUUAAAGUAGAAAGCUGUCCUAUUUCUUUUUGUUCUCACUCUGAGCAAGAGCCAACUCUGGAAGUUUCUUCCCACUCGAUGCAGUCUGUGCAUGAGCCAUGUGUUGAGGAGCCACGGGAGGAUACAAGAAUUGUCCCUACUGUCAAGAGCCAGGUUAAAGAGUACACUAUUCUUUUCUGAGCUCAGAGGUUUUAAUCCAUGAACACUUGACUCCAUUGCUUCUGAGCCUAGGCAUGGUGAGGCAGGAAUAUUCAUGUUCUUAAUCACUGAAAUUGCGGGGAAGCUGCCAUGCCUACCUAGAUUUUGUUUGAGUACUGCAGAUCUGAACUCCAAUCCUCACGCUUUCACUAAAGGUUGUAAACAUCAAAAUAAAUCUUGAUGGGAAAAUAAAUGCUCUUCUGUCUUCAAACCCUUAGUACUACAAAGAAAUAGGCCCAAACAGAGGCAAUUGAGAGAAUAAAAAGAUAAUUACAGACGAUGAUGAAAAUGGAAGCUGCUAAAUUAAAGAAAUAGACCCCUUUGACAGUGUUGAAGAAGUUCUAGACAAGUGCUUUGUAAAUUCAUUUGAGGAAGACUUGCCUGGUUUUCACAGUUGGAGAAGGCUUCGUGGUUCCAGAGAAAAGACCAUAAAGGUAUCUCAGGAUGCAGCAUAUGAAUUAGUACAUCCAUGUUUUAAAAGGUAAAACUACAGGGAAAGCAUGAGAACAAAGAGCUGAGGACAGGACAAUUCCUCUAUCUUUGUCAGACAUAUCAGGUUAUGGGCUGUUAGUGGCUCCAAGAAGAAAGACUUCCUGAUGCUGCAUGAACCCCGGAUUCCUCUACAUCUUCUUCAGACAUUACAGGCUGCUAGUACCCUUCUAAAGUGAAGCCUGAGAUCUGCCUCAUGUGCCUGGGAGAUCCAGGAUGACUCCCCAGUGCACUGCAGCCUGAGCGUUGGUUCUAUGCUUGUUCUAUCAGUGUGGUGUUUCAAAUUCUGCAUUGCAGUUUACCACAAGACCACUGGAUUCUACUCUGAGAAUUAAAGAAAGAAAUAAAAUUGUGAAACUCUCUGCUGCCCAUCAGCAUUGUCUGGGUAAAAACCCAGCCACCUUAUCCUUGAAAUGAACUGAGGUGCUCUAUACCCCUGAACUCUCCAAGAGACGUCAAAUGCAAGAGUAUAUUAAACCUUCUCAUUUACACCAACCUGGCAAAUGCCACAAUAAACUGCCACUGGUCACUGC